ensembl:lncRNA
GCGUGCUCUCAGUGAUGCGCCCCUUCCGAAACGCACCCGAGACCUCCGGGCGCAGCCCCUUUUCCACUAGAGGACAGUGCCACACCGGGAAGGACAGCCGUGCCCUCGGUGAUGCCCUCAGCCUGCAAUUCAGGGCUCUCUUUGAGCCAGAUCUGAUGAGCAGAAUAGCAGCAAAAGGAAGAAACAAACAGCCCGUAGCAAGGAACAAAGGGAAGAGAAAGGCUGGAGGGUCCCGUCCGGCUGUUGCAGCCCUUUUGCUCUGUCUCUGCACAAAGACAUUUAACAGCCACGUGGGAAAGGUUUCCUCAUGGGGCUGUCAUUACUGCCCAAACCUGGGAUGUGUUGCUGGGUCUCGGCUUCCCAUUGGCAAACCUCUUCUCUGGCAACGUGCAGCAGGAUCCCAAAAGGAACCAAAGGUUGAACUCCGGGCAGCAGCCUGCAGUGACCUGACCAGCAGGCAGCACACUGUGUGCAGCCGUGUGCUUUAUCACCUUCCCUUCGUACACAUCCCACGUCGGGAGGGGAUUAAGCAGCAUUAACUGCCUGCCCAGGGCUCCAAUCUGCUGGAGGAUCCAGAGAAGGGGAACGGGUCGGCUUGGCUUGGUCCCAAGCAAAGGACAAAGGGAAGGGCUCAUUGCGUUGUGCCAGCUGCUGCCUGCUCCCAAACGAGCCGUGGUGGGGGGACGGCAGCACUGCAGCCUUGAGAAGACAGCCUGGUGGGAUGAGCCUACAGCGUGGGGUGGUAACCCCAAAGCCACCCGUUGCCAAAGGGUGAAGCUGAAUCUCCCCAUUCACAUCCAUCAGGCUGCUCCCCUGAGUGAUCAUCCCAGCAUCUGCUGUGCUUUGUCUUCACACCUCCUUCCAGCCCAGCAGGCCCUGCAGCCAUUGCAGUGCUCAGAGCACAGCAACAUACUGUGCAUCCCAAAAACUGAGACCUGCAGCAGGAAGCCAGCAAACAAAGCCAUCUCCCCAACGCUGUAACCCCAUCAGCACUGCUCCAUUGCCAUGCCCACAGCCGUUCCAUCAGGGGAAGCAGGCAGCAAAUUUGGAGAGCAGCUCUCUGCUUCAUGUGCAGGAAGAGUAGCACAGGGAGGAGGCAGAUCAUUAGGGCUACGUUUCCUAGGAGAUUUUCACACACUUAAAUGUGAGGAGGGGGGGAGAAUAAGGCAUGAACGUAUCGUGCAGGCAGAAGGUAAAAAUCCCACUGGCACUUCAGAUCUGCUGAGCUAAACUACUGGUGGGCCACCACAGUGCACCGUAAUUGGGCUUAUUGUGUCCUCUUCUCCACGUCACAUGCACAGAAUGACAGCAGGAGAGCAAAGCACGUUGCUCAGAUGCUGAACAGCACAUCCCACAGGAGUUCCAGCAGCCAAGUCCUUGCUUACAUCCUAUUCAAGGCCCAUACUUGGCCACCCAACAGCACAGGGGAGGUUUAGGUUGGAUAUGAGGAGGAAGUUUUUCACCCAGAGGUGGUGACGCACUGAACAGGUUG